ensembl:snRNA U6 U6 spliceosomal RNA
GUGCUUGCUUCAGCAGCACAUAUACUAAAGUUGGAAUGAUACAGAGAAGAUUAGCAUGGACCCUGCACAAGGAUGACAGACAAAUCUAUGAAAUGUUCUAUAUUUUU